rnacentral:rRNA from 1 species
UUAAAUUGAAGAGUUUGAUCAUGGCUCAGAUUGAACGCUGGCGGCAGGCCUAACACAUGCAAGUCGAACGGUAACAGAAAGCAGCUUGCUGCUUUGCUGACGAGUGGCGGACGGGUGAGUAAUGUCUGGGAAACUGCCUGAUGGAGGGGGAUAACUACUGGAAACGGUAGCUAAUACCGCAUAACGUCGCAAGACCAAAGAGGGGGACCUUCGGGCCUCUUGCCAUCGGAUGUGCCCAGAUGGGAUUAGCUAGUAGGUGGGGUAACGGCUCACCUAGGCGACGAUCCCUAGCUGGUCUGAGAGGAUGACCAGCCACACUGGAACUGAGACACGGUCCAGACUCCUACGGGAGGCAGCAGUGGGGAAUAUUGCACAAUGGGCGCAAGCCUGAUGCAGCCAUGUCGCGUGUAUGAAGAAGGCCUUCGGGUUGUAAAGUACUUUCAGCGGGGAGGAAGGGAGUAAAGUUAAUACCUUUGCUCAUUGACGUUACCCGCAGAAGAAGCACCGGCUAACUCCGUGCCAGCAGCCGCGGUA